AUUGAACGCUAGCGGGAUGCCUUACACAUGCAAGUCGAACGGAGUGGCGGACGGGUGAGUAAUAUAUGGGAACGUGCCCAGUAGCGGGGGAUAACUUCUCGAAAGUGUCGCUAAUAGCGCAUACUAUUCGGGCGGCCGAUAUCGGAUUAGCUAGGUGGUGGGGUAACGGCUCACCAAGGCAACGAUCCGUAGCUGGUUUGAGAGGACGACCAGCCACACUGGGACUGAGACACGGCCCAGACUCCUACGGGAGGCAGCAGUGGGGAAUUUUGGACAAUGGGUGAAAGCCUGAUCCAGCCAUCCCGCGGGUAUGAAGAAGGCCUUAGGGUUGUAAAGUACUUUUGGCAGAGAGGCGGUAUCGGCAGAAUAAGCACCGGCUAACUACGUGCCAGCAGCCGCGGUAAUUC
rnacentral:rRNA from 1 species